GAUGAAGAACGUAGCGAAACGCGAUAGUUAAUGUGAAUUGCAGAAUUCAGUGAAUCAUCGAGUCUUUGAACGCACAUUGCGCCCAUUGGUAUUCCUUUGGGCAUGUCUGUUUGAGCGUCAUUACAACCCUCAGCUAACCGCUGGUUUUGAACCUGAACGGGUGACACCGCACCGGUUUUAAAGUUGUAAGCUAUGCUGGCCUCUCUGCCCAACCAGAACAUAGUAAGCACUACUUGUCCAGGUGAAGCUGAACGGUACGGCCUGAACAAAACCUUUACCCACCCUCAAGGUUUGACCUCAGAUCAGACAAGGAUACCCGCUGAACUUAAGCAUAUCAAUAAGCGGAGGA
rnacentral:misc_RNA from 1 species